rnacentral:misc_RNA from 1 species
GAAGUAAAAGUCGUAACAAGGUUUCGUAGGUGAACCUGCGGAAGGAUCAUUAAUAAUGGUCUACGUUUUAAGUAGACACUUAAUAAUCCUACCUUGUGAAUUGUUGAUUUGAAAUAAUUUUUUAAAAUUAUUGAUUGUCUUUCCCUGUUGAAUAGAAUGUUUUCGAACAUGAAAUUCGCAGGGAGUGUCAGUAAUUUUUAAAAAGACCUUUUUAAAAUUAACUUUUGUAUUCAUUUGUCUAAAAUUAUUUUUAUAAUAUAAAAACAACUUUUGACAAUGGAUCUCUUGGUUCUCGCAACGAUGAAGAACGCAGCAAAAUGCGAUAAGUAGUGUGAAUUGCAGAAUACGUGAAUCAUCGAAUCUUCGAACGCAUAUUGCACUUUUUAGUUUACUAAAAAAGUAUGUCUGUUUGAGUAUCAGUAAAUAUUCUCAUAAAAACUAUGUUUUUAUGGUUAUGAGUGUUCUACAACGAUACAAGUUGUUUCACUUUAAAUUUUUUAAAUUUGAAUUUUCUAAUUUAAAAUAAAUUGGAUAAAAUUUCCGUAAAAAGGAAUAACCUAAACAAUUUUAGUUUUUGAUUAGAAUUUUCAUUAUAAAGGAAAUUUAAUAAUAACUUGAUCUCAAUCAGAUAAGAGUACCGCUGAACUUAAGCAUAUCAAUAAGCGGAGGAAAAGAACUAACAAGGAUUCCCUUAGUAACGGCGAGUGAAGCGGAAGAGCUCAAAUUUGAAAUCUUCAAGGUUUACCUGACGAAUUGUAGUUUAAAGAAGUGUUUCUGUUGAAGUUUUGGUAAAAGUUCUUUGGAAUAGGACAUCAUAGAGGGUGAGAAUCCCGUAUUUGACCAUUAUUUUCAGCUGUGUGAUACACUUCAAAGAGUCGGAUUGUUGGGAAUGCAGUCCAAGAUGGUGGUAAAUUUCAUCUAAAGCUAAAUAUUGGCGAGAGACCGAUAGCGAACAAGUACCGUGAGGAAGAUGAAAAGAACUUUGAAAGAGAGUUAAACAGUACGUGAAAUUGUCAGAAGGAAGCGUUUGACACCAGUGUUGUUUCUCGAAAUCAAUUAAAAAGAGUUGGAUUUGUGUUGUAUGACCUUAACAGCUUGCUUCACUCUUUCCUGCUUUUUUAAUGCACUUUUCGUUUAACAAGUCAACAUCAGUUCUUUUGUUGUAAAAGGGUCAUUGGAAGGUGGCUUUCUCUUCGAGAAAGUGUUUAUAGCCUUUGAUCUCUGCAAUCGGAGAGACUGAGGUCUGCAGCGUAGAUCCUUCGGGUUAGAUACAUUUGUGCUAAGCUACAGCUUUUCAUAGACACUUGUUGACUAUGUUAGUCUUGUAAUUACCCGUUAUGCUAUUUUACCUACGCUUAGGAUG